rnacentral:rRNA from 1 species
GCAUAUCAAUAAGCGGAGGAAAAGAAACCAACAGGGAUUGCCCUAGUAACGGCGAGUGAAGCGGCAACAGCUCAAAUUUGAAAUCUGGCUCUCGGGCCCGAGUUGUAAUUUGUAGAGGAUGACUUUGAUGCGGUGCCUUCCGAGUUCCCUGGAACGGGACGCCAUAGAGGGUGAGAGCCCCGUCUGGUUGGAUGCCAAAUCUCUGUAAGUCUCCUUCGACGAGUCGAGUAGUUUGGGAAUGCUGCUCUAAAUGGGAGGUAUAUGUCUUCUAAAGCUAAAUACCGGCCAGAGACCGAUAGCGCACAAGUAGAGUGAUCGAAAGAUGAAAAGCACUUUGAAAAGAGAGUUAAAAAGUACGUGAAAUUGUUGAAAGGGAAGCGUUUAUGACCAGACUUGGGCUUGGUUAAUCAUCUGGGGUUCUCCCCAGUGCACUUUUCCAGUCCAGGCCAGCAUCAGUUUUCGCCGGGGGAUAAAGGCUUCGGGAAUGUGGCUCCCUCCGGGGAGUGUUAUAGCCCGUUGUGUAAUACCCUGGCGGGGACUGAGGUUCGCGCUUCUGCAAGGAUGCUGGCGUAAUGGUCAUCAACGACCCGUCUUGAAACACGGACCAAGGAGUCGUCUUCGUAUGCGAGUGUUCGGGUGUAAAACCCCUACGCGUAAUGAAAGUGAACGCAGGUGAGAGCUUCGGCGCAUCAUCGACCGAUCCUGAUGUUCUCGGAUGGAUUUGAGUAAGAGCAUACGGGGCCGGACCCGAAAGAAGGUGAACUAUGCCUGUGUAGGGUGAAGCCAGAGGAAACUCUGGUGGAGGCUCGCAGCGGUUCUGACGUGCAAAUCGAUCGUCAAACAUGGGCAUGGGGGCGAAAGACUAAUCGAACCUUCUAGUAGCUGGUUUCCGCCGA